rnacentral:rRNA from 1 species
CCUACGGGAGGCAGCAGUGAGGAAUAUUGGUCAAUGGACGAGAGUCUGAACCAGCCAAGUCGCGUGAAGGAUGACUGCCCUAUGGGUUGUAAACUUCUUUUAUAUGGGAGUAAAAUGUUCCACGUGUGGGAUUUUGUAUGUACCAUAUGAAUAAGGAUCGGCUAACUCCGUGCCAGGAGCCGCGGUAAUACGGAGGGUCCGAGCGUUAUCCGGAUUUAUUGGGUUUAAAGGGAGCGUAGGUGGAUGGUUAAGUCAGUUGUGAAAGUUUGGGGCUCAACCGGAAAAUUGCAGUUGAAACUGGCAGUCUUGAGUAUAGUAGAGGUGGGCGGAAUUCGUGGUGUAGCGGUGAAAUGCUUAGAGAUCACGAAGAAUACCGAUGGCGAAGGCAGCUCACUGGACUGCAACUGACGCUGAGGCUCGAAAGUGUGGGGAGCAAACAGGAUUAGAUACCCUAGUAGUC